AGAGUUUGAUCCUGGCUCAGAGCGAACGCUGGCGGCAGGCCUAAUACAUGCAAGUCGAACGCACCUUCGGGUGAGUGGCGGACGGGUGAGUAACGCGUGGGAACGUGCCCUUUGGUUCGGAACAACACAGGGAAACUUGUGCUAAUACCGAAUGUGCCCUUCGGGGGAAAGAUUUAUUGCCAUUGGAGCGGCCCGCGUUGGAUUAGGUAGUUGGUGAGGUAAAGGCUCACCAAGCCUACGAUCCAUAGCUGGUCUGAGAGGAUGAUCAGCCACACUGGGACUGAGACACGGCCCAGACUCCUACGGGAGGCAGCAGUAGGGAAUCUUGCGCAAUGGGCGAAAGCCUGACGCAGCCAUGCCGCGUGAAUGAUGAAGGUCUUAGGAUUGUAAAAUUCUUUCACCGGGGAAGAUAAUGACGGUACCCGGAGAAGAAGCCCCGGCUAACUUCGUGCCAGCAGCCGCGGUAAUACGAAGGGGGCUAGCGUUGCUCGGAAUUACUGGGCGUAAAGGGCGCGUAGGCGGAUAUUUAAGUUAGAGGUGAAAGCCCAGGGCUCAACCCUGGAACAGCCUUUAAUACUGGAUAUCUUGAGUUCGGGAGAGGUGAGUGGAAUGCCGAGUGUAGAGGUGAAAUUCGUAGAUAUUCGGCGGAACACCAGUGGCGAAGGCGACUCACUGGCCCGAUACUGACGCUGAGGCGCGAAAGCGUGGGGAGCAAACAGGAUUAGAUACCCUAGUAGUCC
rnacentral:rRNA from 1 species